AUAACUACUGGAAACGGUAGCUAAUACCGCAUAACGUCGCAAGACCAAAGAGGGGGACCUUCGGGCCUCUUGCCAUCAGAUGUGCCCAGAUGGGAUUAGCUAGUAGGUGGGGUAACGGCUCACCUAGGCGACGAUCCCUAGCUGGUCUGAGAGGAUGACCAGCCACACUGGAACUGAGACACGGUCCAGACUCCUACGGGAGGCAGCAGUGGGGAAUAUUGCACAAUGGGCGCAACCUGAUCA
rnacentral:rRNA from 1 species